rnacentral:lncRNA from 1 species
AUGCUGCUUCCGGAGAAGGGUUGCAAGUGGAAGAGCAGGAAGACGAAAUUAUAAAGUUAGGACUACACUUCGUUUAUGACAAGGCAUUUUCGGAUCGAGCCCUCUUCAAAGUGAAUGAAAGCUUCGACGCCUACUUCACUGCACUCACAAGAGCCGCCCAGGAGUAUUUCAAGCUACAUGAUAGUCCAAAAAUCCGCCUCACACUUGUCGGAUCAUAGAAACUUGAGGAGGAAGACAUAAUUAAAAACACAACUAUAAGCGGAACAA